GAUGAACGCUAGCUACAGGCUUAACACAUGCAAGUCGAGGGGAAACGGCAUUGAGUGCUUGCACUCUUUGGACGUCGACCGGCGCACGGGUGAGUAACGCGUAUCCAACCUUCCCAUUACUGUGGGAUAACCUGCCGAAAGGCAGACUAAUACCGCAUAGUCUUCGAUGACGGCAUCAGAUUUGAAGUAAAGAUUUAUCGGUAUGAGAUGGUGAUGCGUCCGAUUAGGUAGUAGGCGGGGUAACGGCCCACCUAGCCUUCGAUCGGUAGGGGUUCUGAGAGGAAGGUCCCCCACACUGGAACUGAGACACGGUCCAGACUCCUACGGGAGGCAGCAGUGAGGAAUAUUGGUCAAUGGGCGAGAGCCUGAACCAGCCAAGUAGCGUGCAGGAUGACGGCCCUCCGGGUUGUAAACUGCUUUUAGUUGGGAAUAAAAAAAGGGACUUGUCCCUUCUUGUAUGUACCUUCAGAAAAAGGACCGGCUAAUUCCGUGCCAGCAGCCGCGGUAAUACGGAAGGUCCAGGCGUUAUCCGGAUUUAUUGGGUUUAAAGGGAGCGUAGGCGGAUUGUUAAGUCAGCGGUUAAAGGGUGUGGCUCAACCAUGCAUUGCCGUUGAAACUGGCGAUCUUGAGUGCAGACAGGGAUGCCGGAAUUCGUGGUGUAGCGGUGAAAUGCUUAGAUAUCACGAAGAACUCCGAUCGCGAAGGCAGGUGUCCGGGCUGCAACUGACGCUGAGGCUCGAAAGUGUGGGUAUCAAACAGG
rnacentral:rRNA from 1 species